rnacentral:lncRNA from 1 species
AUUUCUCCCUGUACAAUUUCACAGCAGCUGCAUGUCCAAGAAUCAUGUUAUGGGCUACCAUGUAGGGUUCGGUACCGGAGUUACCGAGCGUGCAGUUUCCGACAUAGUUAGAGCAACGGCCUGGAGCGAAAGUACCGCCAUUGUAGCCAUUGUUGCUGAACGAGUAUGGCUCAUUAAAUGUGCACCAGUGCUUCACUCGAUCGCCAAAUGUUUUGAAGCAAAAGUCCGCAUAGUCAAGGUAAUCAUCCCUAAUACAUUAAUCUUACCAGUUAAUUAAGUGAUAUGAGAUCUUGAACAUUAUGACAAUACUAAUUAAAUUAAAAUUACAUUCGCCUAUAUUGUUAUCUAUCUUACACAGCUUUGGAGCUUAGGAAUCCGGAAUACUCAUUGUCAAGUGCUUGUGGAAGAUCCCAGUGAAACAAUGUUACAAAAGGUGUUAUGCCUGUGCAUAAUUAACAUUAAUCAGAAACCAAAAGCAAAUAUCAAUGGUAGAGCUUGGAGUACUGCAAGGUAGAUAUCGGAUAAUCACCAUUAGCUAAGAGCUCAUUGAUGAGAUUGUUGUAGAAUCUGACACCCAGAGGGUUCACUCCUCCACUAAUUUUUCCCUCUGAAAUUGAAAGAAGAAUCAAUUAUGAAUAUCAUAUGAACAUAAUUGUGAUGCCGAAGAAAUUGAUUUGAGUGAUUUUCGUACUCGGUAACACUCUUGACCAAGAGAUGGAGAACCUAAAAGAGUCCAGGCCAAUUUUUUUCAUCAAUUGUAUGUCCUCCUGAGACAUUUUAUACUAAAUAUUAGUAAAACGGAAUUUCCUUAGAAUAUACAUAUAUAAGUUUGCUAUAUGAUACGAAGAUAUACAUGGUGGAAAAUUGAGUGGCCAUACCUUGUAUCGAUGAUAAAAGUCGAUGGCUACAUUUCCCGUGCUAUGGUCCCAAAUUUUCUCUGCAAGUACAUCAUAAUUUUUAUUUUUAAUCCAAGUUCCCCGUUAAAUGGAUAGUAAAAUUGCAUAUAAAAGCGGAGAAGCCAAGUUUAGAGAAAUGGACCUGGAUGCUGUUUAGUGAAGGUGUCCCAAAUACUUGGUCCCUUUCCAUCAAUAUAUGCAGCUCCUUCAGACUUAGAAACACAGAAAAAGCAAGGGGUAAAUACAAGCAUAUGAAAGCAAGAAAAUGCUCAAGGUUCACCGCGUAAUUAAACGCAGCAACAAGUUCAUUGCAUUGACAUCAAAAAAAUGAUCUUCCUGCAUAUUUUUAUCAAUAUUGCUUAAUAUUGGUUUGUCUUUUAUACCGUAAAGAUACAAAUCCAGUAUUAAAAUGCCCGGUUUUUGUCAAAACAUUGACAUCAAAAAAAUUUAAAAAUAAAAAAACGUUUUGCUUUAAAAAAAAUUCUGAAAAAUCCUUAAAAAAUAUUGUUGAUUUUCCUGCAUAUUUUUAUCAAAAUUGCUUAAUAUUGGUUUGUAUUUUUAUACCGUAAAGAUACGAAUCCAGUAUUAAAAUACCCGGUUUUCGUCAAGACAUCAAAAAAAAAUGUUUUUUUUUAAAUGCAUACGGCCUAGUCUCUCCAAAAUAAAGAAAAAAUCAUUGCAUCAUAUUUGCACGAAAAUGAUCAUCUGCAGUUUCUUUACAGCGCCAUGUAAAUAGAUCAGUUUGCAUGACAAUCUUUAGGCGCCGGUGUCGGCCUAAACAUGCCAACUCAAGCACCUUUUUCUGCAGAUUUGAUUGUGCACCAUGCUUACUUUGAGCCAACAGUUGGGAUCCUUUUCAACUUAAUCAAGGGCUGCAAUUUUACCCCGAUGUAGACGAGAUUGCCCUCUUCCAUCACCCAUAAAUAGAGGUUGAGUUGAUGGUCUGAGAGAGGAGAAAUUGGGGUCCAAAUAUUAGAAAAAACCAGCCACUUCCCAGUUUUUUUUCUACAACGUCUCUAUCUCUUCACUCUCUCUCUCCACCAUGCUCUCAGCGACCUCACUAUUUUCAACGCCGGCUUUACCGCCACCCUCUCCACCACACUUAUCCCUCUCCACCGACUGCUUCUCCUUUUUCCUCCACAGCGACAGCAACCCACCAGCACCCCCAUUUUUGUUUCCUUCCUUCUCCAUUAUCGGCAGCAGUAGCACCAACUCCUCUAUAGAUCGCCAAGACCAGCUGCUCCUCCGAAGCCUAGGUGGCCUCCUUUUUUUUUUUUUUCUCUCUCUCUCCUUCUCUUCCUCUUUAUUCCCCCCCAUCUGCAUCACCCUGCAUGCAUAACGAGAAUUCUCAAAAAUAAAUUUUAAAAAAUUAUGGUUUUCUCAAAUAUUUUUCUAUCCAUUUUGCAUAAUAGGUUGUAUAUUUACAUUGUAAAAUACCAAUCUGGUAUUAAAAUACCUAGUUUUCUCUGAAAUAUUUCAAAAAAAAAAAAAAAAAUCAAAACAUUUUCAAAAAAUAUCAAAAAAAUUUAAAUCAAUUUUCCUUUUCAAAAACAAAAAAAUAUUUUGUUUCAUGCAUACGACUAAAUCCUAAAAAUUUUCCAAGCAUAUUUUCAUUAAAAGAUUGCGUCUUUCUCAUGUUUUGAAAAUUCUAAAAAUGGAUAUCAUAACUAGUUUAUGAUUAUCCAUUAGGAUCUGACCAAAAUAUCAAAAACCUUUUUCCAACAUUUUUUCCUAGGGUCCAAAUGUAGACUUUAAUAUCUAUAGGGUGUAAAAUUACACAAUAAAGUACACCCUCAAGUAUGAAAGAUACAAGGUGUAAAAAUGCGAUGCUAAAAAUUAGAUUUUAGAAUGUCUAGGAUUUAACCCGAUAAGGUAAAGACUCUCUCAUGAAGAGAGAUCUGCGUUGAGCCUCAAAAAAGACCAACGAAUAGAAACCCAACUUAGAAAAACAAUCAAACAAUAAUGUAGCUUACCUUAGAUAAGGUGCACUGGGGGUGAUGCGUCUUCCCCUUGCACAACCAGUCCCUUACUCAGACUCUCGCAGACCAUAUGUUCCUAGUAAUCAUAAUACUAGGUGGUGACUUCUAAACAUUAAUCAUAAUUUUAUGAAUAAAUCCAAAACCCUUUCCAACACAUAACACCUCACAUAGGAGGCACGAAAGUAGCCUCCGCCAUCGCCAGACGAUGUUGCCCCACGACAUGAUGGAGACUUUGCUGGGGAAAGCCAUGUCUGGUCGGACUGAGCUUUGCUUGUUUGAUUGUUUGCCUUUUUAUUGGUCUUUAAUUUUAGCUCACAUUUUUACUGCUUUAGUAUGCAUUUUAAUUUUGCGAAUAAACCUAAUUCUAGGUUAGGUGGGGAGUAGCGGUCUGCCUCAUGACUUUCAGUUGGGGUUUAGAUUCGUGAAACAUCCAACUAUGAGUUGAGUGUUUACUCGGUAAUGGUGGUCACACUGUGCCCUAACCAUUUCUUGUAAACCCUUAUAUUGCCUUUAUGUAAGGUGGCCUCUAGGCAGUUCAUAGACCUUUUCGAGACCAGGUAGAAAGCUUACCUAUCAUGUAAUGACCUAGAACCUUUCUUUGGAGCAUGAACUCCCUUGAUAUUCAUUAUGCAUGGGUUUGUGUUAUUCAUACCCAAUGUGCAUGUACAUACAUUUGCAUUCAUACACUUACCUCAAUCCAUUGUAAAUAACAUGCAUCUUUCAUUAGGUUGAAAUAUAGGUCCCUAAAGAGCCUACAACACCUAACUCCGAGUAAGAAAUAUGGAGGAUGAAGGGUGUGCUCACCGUGAUGCCCAUUUCCAAGAAGAGUUAGAGUCUCUGAAAGCAAGCGUCGCUUGCCUACUAGUUUACUUGAGCAAACACUUAGAAAUGCCUCUAGUGAAGGUCCUUCCAAUCGGCCAGCUAUUUUUGUUCAACCUCUGGCAACAACUCAACCUGAAGAAACAAUGAGUGAACAUGGUCAAUAACCUCCAUACAAUCUAGCAUUUGUGAACUCAAUGCCACCUGCACCAGCCCCUGCAGUUAUAGAUCCAUUUGCCAAUGAGUCCCAUAAGAUGAAGUCAUCCAAUAGCAUUGAUCAAGAUAAGAUGGCAAUGUUGGAAGCCCGGAUUAGAGCCAUUGAAGGGGUAAACUUGUACGAUCCAGUACGGGCAUCAUAAAUAUGUCUAGUCCCAAAUGUGGUGGUCCCGAAAAAGUUCCGUGUUCCUGAAUUCAUCAAAUAUAUUGGAACACAAUGCCCCAUGACUUAUCUCAAGUCUUACUGCAACAAAAUGGCAGAAGUAGUACAUGAUGAAAAACUAUUGAUGCACUUUUUCCAGGAUAGCUUGAGUGGGGCGGCAUUGAGCUGGUAUAUGAGAUUGGACAAUACAAAGAUCCAAAAAUGGAAAGACUGGGUGGAUGCUUUUAUCAAGCAAUACAGGUACAUAUGGGCAUUGCUCCUGAUAGAACCAGUCUGUCCAAUCUAGAGAAAAGGGACAAGGAAAGCACAAAGGAAUAUGCUCAAAGGUGGAGAGACCUAGCUGCUCAAGUACAUCCUCCACUCUUAGAUAAAAAGAUGGUCACUUUGUUUGCCAACACACUCAAGGACCUAUACUACGAGCAUUGAUGGGUAGUUCGGCCCAUCAAUUUACUGAUGUUGUGGCAAUAGCUGAACGCAUAGAACAAAGGAGUAAGGAGUGGUAGAAUCUCUGCACUUGUGGAGAAAAGGGGUUCUGGCGAUAAAAAGAAAGAGGUUGACCAUGUUGAUGGUAGGAAGAACCCAUUCUAAAAAUACCACACUUCAUCCUCUUUACCCCAAAUCGCCAACAUUAAUUUCAACUCUUUUUUUCCUACCAGAAAACCUGAGCCUCAAACCAAACACCAAAGAGCCCAAGAAAAACUACCUCCAUUACCGCUGCCUUUAAAUGAGAUGUAUGAUUAGUACUUAAAAGUGCAUUUUUCUCAAGGUUUUAUAUCAUCAUUUUGCACUUGAAGUAUCAAUAACUCCUUAACUAAAGCAUGUUUUAUAAUAACAUAUCUAAUAUAUAAGAUACCUUUAACUUAUGGUAAAUGCUCAUCUUAAAUGCAGGCCUAUCACAUAAAUAAAAGGAUUGAUUGAUGAGUUUAAGUAUUGAAAUUGAAAGGACAAAGAAGGGCAAACUUAGAAAAGUGAUGUUGGUGAGUCCAAACUGGAACACUGUUCGGUAAUUGGGUCAUAUAUGGAGCUGUAGAUCUUGGAUUUAGGUCUGCUUUAUAUGGAUGGAAAGAUAAGACAUAACCUACAACUUUCAUGUGGAGUCCAAGAUUUAAAGAGGCUGUUUUCAAGUCCAAAUUACAGCAAAAUGGAGAAGUCCGAAUUUAUCCUGUAGCCUAGACAAUGUUCAGUGUUCAGCCCAUAUCUCGAGUUCUAGAAGUCCAAAUAACCUUAAUUUUUUUCCUGGAAAGAUAAGAAAUUUCCUAUAACUUUCAUAAGCAUAGUUGAUUCUAGUUAUGAUGUUAGCAAUGACAUUUUGUUCAGACAAGAAGAUAAGGAUUUUCACCAAGUCAAGAGUUGGCCACCCACUCAACAAUUAGUCAUCAAAUCAAUAGUUCCAAAUUUUGGCCUAUAAAAGAAGGCUUUUGCCAUGCAUUUAAGAGCUUUGUUGUUCAGAUCAAGAACUUUCUUGCUCUCUCUCUUUAUAUUUUUUUUUGUAAUUCUAAGUUUUGCUUUCAUUAAUAUCUUGUUUAUGCUUUUCAAUUCCUUUCCUUUACUUAGUUAACUUGUAUCUUAUUUAUGUUUCUCUUUGUUAUUAUGUUUAGCUAAGUUUAUUAUGUCAAGGUGAAAAGGUUACACUAAUGGUGUAAGAAUAAGUAUAGUGUAAACUCAACAUGGACCUUAAUGUUUAAUAUUAACAUGUCUUAUCUUUUUAUCUUACUAAUUCUUAAUACCUUGCUUGUUAAAUGGUUAAUGUAGAUUUGUGUUGUAUAACACUUGGUACAACAAAUGCUUGACACUCUCAUAGCACUCUCAUGCUCUGGCAUCCUUUUUUCACUACUAUAUUUUUUCAAUAUAUUAUGUUAUAUAUAUAUAUAUAUAUAUUAUUUAAUUUUUUUGUAUUUUCUCUUUUCUUGUGCCGGGACCCAAAAAUUGGUUACAACAACCCUGACCAAUAGUCAUAGGACAGAUUGCUAGUUCCCCACCUAACCUAGAAGCUUGUGUGUGCUUUCAAAAAUUAAAACAAGUGAUGCAUGAGAUAAUUUUAUAAAAUGCAUCGAUACAAGAACAUUAAAAAAAAGAUAAAACUACAAAAACUUAAACACAUCAAAUACACAAAGCUUAGUCCAAUAUUGUUAAAAACAGUACCUUCCUUGGUGGAGUUGCCAUUUUGUCGCACGUCACCCACGCGACGUCCAUUGGCAAUUUUUCAUUUGUUUAUUUGCUUGAUUUGUUUUUAAGAGUCGCCACCUAGUAUUUCAUUGAGAGUUACUAGGAAACCCGGAUGUACUGGUCUUGUUAGAGAUUUGCGGGUAAGGGUCUAGUUGUGGUUAGGGAAGGUAUUAGCACCUCUAACGCACCCUACUUGAGGUAAGUUGCUUCGUGGCUUUAUUGUGUUAAAGAAGUUUUAAAAAAUUUAUCUUUUCAUCGGAUAUUAGAAAUAAGACUUACGUGUAAGUUCAUAAUCCUUAAUCAUGAGCAAAUCAAAACAUUAAAUUCUUCUUUAUUCUUUACAAUUUUUUAUAUAAAAAAACAGCCAUAAAACAUACAAACAACACAUUCACUUUCACUAUAUUUUUUUUUCUCUGUUUUUUUUAACAUCCACACUAGAAAUGAUAAAAAAAAAAAACUAAACAAAAAUUACAUCAAACAAUUUAAAAAUUACAAAAUAGCUGGACCAAAAAACAGUGGCGACGCGUCUUCUCCAUAUACCACCGCCACUAGCAGCAUGUGGAUUCAUGUGCUACCGCAAAAGCAACCGGGAAACAAGGCAGUCGAGAUUGGCACUGGAUUCUCCUCUUCCCUUUUGCACUAGCAAUGACACCGUGACUUGCAAAACAAAAAAAACACAACAACACAGUUGAUUCUCUCCUUUUUAGAUCUAUUUCUUCCUUUUUUGGAUCUGUUUCUCUCUCCUCCUUCUUUAGAUAGUAGAUCUGCUGUGAGGGGGAGGCCGUUAUGUUAGGCUGAGGUGGUGUGUCGCUACUACUGGAGAGUCCGGCUCUGUCGGGCAAAUUGGCCGAUGAUGGUGUAGAAGGAUGAGCGGCAGACAAAAUUGGGGUCGUGGGCGCCGCUAUGCUUAGGCUACUGUUAAAGGAAGAAAGCGGACCGAUUUGGGAUUUGUGGGUGCCACUGUGCCAGGAUGCUAUCGGUCGGUUAUGGUGGACGCCGAAGGUGGUGCUGAGGCGAAGAUAUCGUUGGGGCAAGCCAGUAUGUGGUUCAUGUGUUUCUUCUCUAUCACUAGCGGUGGAAGGGCUGAGGGAAACCUGAGAGAGAAGAUGGACGAUGGAGAGGGGAAAUGGAGACUGGAGCUAUUUAGUUUUUAAGGAGAAGGGAGGCGAUCGACCUUUAUUAAAUAGGUAAGAGAGGCUAAUGGGGGGAAAGGAAAAUGUUAGAUCCGAGGGAGGGAAGUAGAUGGGUCGGCUAAAAGAGGAGAGGUCUGGUUCUGGUGAGGGAGCGGCUGGUUCUGGUUAUUUCUUUUAAUCCAAAAGGGGGGGUCGGUUUGCUUGAAAGAGAUGGGUUUAGGGUUAAGGUUUUUUGUUGUGUUUUCUCCCAAAUGUGCAAAAUUGCCCCCCUCCUUUUGUGAGUUGUGGACCUAUAUUUAUAGGUAAAAUGUUACUUGGGCCUCAAAAUUGGUCCCUCAACCUUCCUUUUUUUGUAAAUUCUGAUUUUUCUUGUAUUUUUUAAAAAUGAGCAAUAUCAACAUCGACUCAAUAAGGAAAAUCAAUACUUUUAAAAUGGCGCGUGAAAAGUUGAAUGUGUUCAAAAGACAUUUGAAAAAUUAUAUUCUUUUGAAAUGAUGCUAAAAAUGCUAAAAACGAUACAAAUAUAUUAAAAACAUAUUUUUUUGGAUUUUUUGAAAAUUUUAUCAAAAAGAUGGGUCAAAAAUUGAGUACCAACAAGAACCAACAUCUAUGUGUAGCUGGGCUAACCUGAGAUCCCUUUUGGCAAUCCCUUUUAACCAGAACCAAAAUCUGUAUGGUUGGGCUACCUAGGAUCCCAUCUGGCGAUCCCUUUUAACUAGAACCAAACUCUGUAUGGUUGGGCUAACUUGAGAUCCCAUCCGGCGAUCCCCUUUAACCAUAACCAAAAUCCGUGUGGUUGGGCUAACCCAAGCUCCCAUCCGGCGAUCCACUUUAACCAGAACCAACCUUUUGUGUGUGGUUGGGCUAACCUGAGAUCCCUUUUGGCGAUCCUCUUUAACCAGAACCAAAAUCUAUGUUCUUCUCGUUGGCAAGGUUUGAACUUGCAUCCUUUUUCUUCUUCUCUUCUUUUUUUGAUAAUUUCCUAAUGGUAGGGUUCUUCUCAUUUUUCAUCUUGAUGAUAAGGUUAAAUCAAACUUUUCACUUGAUGCUUUCUUUCUUUCUUUCUUUUAUUUUUGUUAUUUUGCACGACUGACAUAUGUCUUUCCUAAUUGCAGGGUUGACAUUUGUCCUUCCUGAUGAUUGAAAUUAAUUGGAUUUUUCUUGAUGAGAAGGUUGGAAAACUUGGUGCUUCCUGAUUGCAGGGUUGACCUGAAGACUCCUCAUGAUGACAAGGUUGAUAUUCACAUUUCUUUGAGAUUUUUAUGACAAUAAGGUUUAUCUCAUCUUCUUCCUGUUCCAGGGUCACAACCAUGAUUCUCUAUUAUUAUUAGCUCAAUGAUUCUAUUCGCUUUUUUUUUUUCAAUCUUGCUGGACUUCUUUGAGGAUUUUCCUAUAACGAAUAAAAAAUAUGUGUGCAAUGCUUUGAGGUUAGAUGACAUGCAUGCAUCCUUACCUGAUUUGAAAUAUAGGUCCCCCCUAUUUGAUGUUCCAUCGUCAUAGGAUGCCUUUGUUUGCUAUCCAAAAGCCUUCUUUACUCUUUCCAUCUACUGGCCCGUUCAUGUGCUAGUCAUACACUCCACUAUAAAUGUAGCGCCUAUCCUAGGUUGUCUUCGAUGAUUAUUGAUUUCAUUGUUUAUCAAGCUUGACAAUGCCCCCAAGUGUGGUGUUGCUUGAUUCAUCAUGAAGGAGUUUAACAAAUCAUUUCAUCUCCUGAAUUCUUUCGAGAAUCGUUCUUUGAUUAGCUGUGUGCAUCCUACCAGCACUCAUCAAGAGAUUUUCUAGUGUUGUCCUCAUCUUAGAUUGCUAAUCAGCCAUUGACUUGCCUCCAGUGCUCGUUCAUCUUAUUAUCUUCCUUUCAACACCAUUGUCCUCAGUUUCACUGAUUCAUCAUUUAAUCAUUUUUUUUAUUGCCCCCUAGCUGAUCUGAAUAUUGCUUGUUUUUCCUUCUCAGGGUCCACUGUAUUGCCCCCGGCUGCUCAACUUUUCAAGAAGUAUCAAGAAGUAUUGAUGUCCCUUCUAUCAAGGACUUUGUAAACUCGAUCGGUGCUCUUUUUGUUUGACAAUCUUUCUUGCUCGGGAAUCAACUCUCAUAUUUCAAAGAUCAUGUAUAUUCCAAAGUCUAAUUGUUGAUGUUGUUACCCAUUUUUGGGUCCCCACACAAAGAUAAAAAUAUAAUAACAACAAAAAAAUAAUAAAAUAAUAAUAAUAAUAAAUAAUAAUAAUAAAUAAAUAUAUAGCCGAAAGAAAUUAGAAAAAAUAAUAGGAGGCGGGAGCGCUCAGGAAAUGGCCAGAAAAAUUGAUUAAGGAGGAUUAAAAUACAAACAUUAAAAUUUUUUGACAGUAUGAUGAGAGCUCUAUUGGAAAAGAAAAUUCAAUUUGAAGAGAAAAGUUCAAAAUUGGAUGUUUAUGGACUUAAUUGGAUUUUAUUGCAAAUUUAAUUGAAUUUAUAGAGGGUUUGAUUGCAAGAAAAAAUGAUUUUUUAAGUCAAUUUUGGAUUAAUUGGAAGAAAUUAAAGUUCUGGGGUCAAAUUAUAAUUUUUAGGAAUUGAUUAGGUCAAAUCAGGGGCUUAAUUGCAUAAAUAUUAAAAUUUAAUGGCCAAUUAGGGACUUAAUUGAGAAAAUCCAAAACCAAAGACCAAAUUGGAAAAGGCGCGUAAAUAGAGGGUCUGUAAUUGAUUGAUUCAGGGGCCUAAUUGAAGAAAUUGGAAGUUUAUUGAUCAAUUGAGGGCCCAAUUGCAUAAAUUAAAGGCCAAGGACUGAAGUGAAAAACGCGGCCAACUAUAGGGGCGGAGACUGAAAUUGGCAGGGAUGCAAUUGAAUUAAUUCUUAAAAUCGAAAUUAGAUUUGAGGACUUAAUAGAACAAAGGAUAAAUUAAGGACUGAUUUGGAAACAAAUAUUCUAGCGCCACAUUUAAAUGAAACGGCGCGUUUUGUCCAAAACGACGUCAUUUCAUGUAAAAAAAAAAAAGGACAGAACGGUGUCGUUUUGAACGACAUUGUUCCCCUUUCUUCUUCCCCUGGACGUGCAGCAGGGGAAGAAGGAAAGCUUUUGUUUUUUCACUUUAAAUCUUCCUGCCUCUCUCUCUCCCCGCGUGCUCUGCCAAGACCCGAAGCCCCACGCCCUUUGAUGAUGAGAAACCAGGAGAGUCGCGCCCACUGGCCAACCGACCGGCGUUGCCCCUCUCCCCCAUGCAACCAUAAUGAGGCCCUGCUCCCUUUUCCCCCUAUAAAUGGAGACUACACGCCAGCACGCGGGGGAGAAAAAAAGGAAGGAGAGGGAACGAACCGAAGGGAGGACGAACCGAAAGAAAAAAAAAAGCAGAGAAAGAAAAAAACAGAACCGAAAAGGGAGAGAAACAACCGAACAAGAGAGAACCAUUGAAAACCCAAAACUGAGAGGAAGGGGGAAGCUUGAAACCGGGAGGGAAACUUAAAAACAAAAACAAAACACAGAACCGAGAGAACACAUAACCGUUUGAAACAGCCGCAGCGCCGCUUGGAGCCGCAGUCCGUGAGCCACGACACCGCCACCGCCUCCUCCGUGUCAGGUAAGCUCUUCGUCCCCCUCUUUGUUUUGUUUCUAUUUGUUCUCUUUCUCCUGCAUGCAAAACGCUUUCUACAUGCAGGAGAGGGGGAGGGAAAAUAAUUCCCUCCCCCUCGUCAGUUACGUUGUUGGGCCAGGCUGAUCCUGGCCCAGCAUUUGUUGGUUUUUUUCCUCUCUAGGCCAGGCUGAUUCUGGCCCAAACUAAAAAAGAGAGAUAUGUUGGGCCGAGAUCGGCCCAACCCCUUUUGGGCCAAGGCUGGCCUAGCUAGUUGGGUCAUGCCAGGCCAGCCCAUAUAAUAUUAUAUAUUAAUUAUUAUAAUGUUUUUAUAUUAUUUAUAUAUAUACAUAUAUAUCCAAAAAAAAUUAAAAAAAUUCUUGAAAAAUCCUAAAAUUUUUGUUGAUCUUCCUGCAUAUUUUUAUCAAUAUUGCUUAAUAUUGGUUUGUCUUUUAUACCGUAAAGAUACAAAUCCAGUAUUAAAAUGCCCGGUUUUCGUCAAAACAUUGACAUCAAAAAAAUUUAAAAAUAAAAAAACGUUUUGCUUUAAAAAAAAUUCUGAAAAAUCCUUAAAAAAUAUUGUUCAUUUUCCUGCAUAUUUUUAUCAAAAUUGCUUAAUAUUGGUUUGUAUUUUUAUACCGUAAAGAUACGAAUCCAGUAUUAAAAUACCCGGUUUUCGUCAAGACAUCAAAAAAAAAUGUUUUUUUUUAAAUGCAUACGGCCUAGUCUCUCCAAAAUAAAGAAAAAAUCAUUGCAUCAUAUUUUCAUACAAUAAAAGAAAUUUCAAAAAAGUAUAUGUAUUAGCAUGCAUUUAGGCUUUAACAACAAGUUUGUUAGAACCACGAGAACUAGGUCAAUAUUUCAAAAAUUCUAAAAAAUCUUUUUGUUUUCUUUUAGUAUUGAGGAUUACGAAUUUAUACGUAAAACGUAUUCCUGACAUUAAAAAAUAUAUAUAUAGAGAGACGUUAAAACGAUUAUGAUUUUACCCGAUAAGAUAAGGACCUCUUUAUUGAGGAGGACUUUUCUUGAGCCGUAAAUAGACCAACAAUUGAAAUAGGAUAACACCUUAGUUUUUUAUCAAACAAUCAAACAAUGCAGCUUACCUUAGGUAAGGCGUAUUUGGGGUGCUAAUACCUUCCAUUUACACAACCAGUCCCCGUACCCGAUCUCUGAGACCAGUUAGGGUUCCUAGUGACCAAAAUACUAGGUAGCGACUCCCAUUCCAUUUUCUACCAAUAAACGACAAGAAUUUCUUGUCCCCCCAUAUUUACCAAAUAGAUUUACAUUUUAGAUUUAAAGUGGGACAUAUAUUUUUCGCCGCGACGCCGCACACGUGCGACAGUUGAAAUGGAAUAAGAGAGAUGUCAGUUUUGUAAAGGUAUUUUUUUGAAAUUCAAGCUUCUUUGGUCAAAGACCCAACACACGCCAUUCAAUACAUGUAGUCCUUUGAUUAUUUUAUAUUUGGAAAACAUAAAUUUACCCGUUGAAAGAUUAAAAUGGUUUUUUUCCAUGGUUCUUUGUGUUAAUUUUAAUCUCUGAUCUUGGGUAUAUCUUUUGAUAAUCUAUGAUGAGGUGACCUUUUUGUGAAAAACAAGAUGCUAAAGUUAGAACUUAGGCUUUAUCAAGAAAGGUUUUUUUUAGCACUUAUUUUCUCAGCAUGCAUAAUAACAAGUAGCUUAAUCUAUGAAGUCACAACCUUAAUGGGUUCAAAUUGCUUACUUGAUCGAAAAGGGCUUUUAAAAACACGUAAUGUAGGCUAUAGUUUAUGGCUAUGAAAGAAAGGAAUUUUACAGGCUUAAAAGGUGUUUGAGGGUUUCAAAAACCUAGGAUCAACAUCAAUUAUUCAUCAUUUAUCUUUCUCUUGUUGUCUUUGUAGAGAAAGUGGCAUAUAACCUUAUUAGCCUCAAAUAUCAGAAUUCUCAUAGGUCAUAAUGAAAAUCAUUGACUUUUGACAUUUGUUUUCUUUGAUGAAUAAUAAUCUCAAUCAUCUGAUAACAUCAAGGGCUUUAUCAUGGAUGCCAAAAGUCAUGUUUCUAGCUUAGUAUUGUUUUUUUUUUUUAAUUAUUGACUUUUGACAUUUGUUGUGUCUUUCCUCAUUUGAAACUUCUUUGUUUUUCUUAGAUUCAAUAGGCAUUCUCCUUCCUUUAUCUUUGACCUGCCUUUAAGUGUAGGCAAUUUUCAUGUUAUAUAUAUAUAUAUAUAUAUAUAUAUAUGGCUUUCAAAUAGCCUUUCUCAUUGUUUCUAUCAUGCCCCCAGUCUAAGUCUUCUUUCUUUUAGCUCUCUCUCAAACGUUGGACUUUUUUCUUAGCCUUCAUUGAUUCACUUUUGUCUUCCCUUAUUUUCCCCAGUAUGGGUGUGAUCCUGGUCAGGUUUUUUUUAAAAAAAGAAUAUUCUAUCACGCUCAAGCUUUUUAUUCUUUCUCAAACUCUACAAUAGAAAUUUCUUGAGUGAUGACCAUUAUAUCCCCCGUAAGUCCUGAAUUCAAGAUGCUUCAAGAAGGGUUUGCUCAAAUGCAAAACAAUGUGUAUGGAGCAUACAUCCUAAAGACAGGCUCUAAUCUUUUUACGUGAGACAAAAGGUUGGUUUACUACUUGGUCUCUAAAAAGGGUAUCUUGUUAUCCCAAUGAUCACCCUUGUAAAGGCAAUAUGGGGGCCCAGUAGGUAAUGGUUGGCAUGUGUGUCAAUCAUUACGAGUCUAAGCACUCGAUGAAGAGUUGGGGUUUACACAAACUUAAACCUUGACUAAAAGUCGUAAUGUAAGCUAUUAGUCCCACACCUAACCUGAAGCUUGUGUGCGCUUUCAAAAAUUAAAACAUGUGAUGCAUGAGAGAAUUCUAUACAAUGCAUGAAUAAAACAAAAAUAAAUAAAACAAAACACAAAAAAAACUUGAACAUGUCAAAACACAAAGCUUAGUCCGAUAAUGUUGAAAACAGUACCUUCCCCAGUGGAGUCGUCAUUAUAUUGCUUGUCCCCACGCGGCGUCUAAUGGUGAUUUUUCAUUUCUUUGCAUGAUUUGGGAGUCGUCACCCAGUAUUUGAUUGAAGGGUAAUAGGAACCCGAGUAUAUUGAUCAUUGUUAGAGAUUUGAGGGUAAGGGACUGAUUAUCGCUAUGGAAGAUAUUAGCACCCCUAGCGCACCCUACCUGAGAUAAGCUGCUUUGUGAUUUGAUGUGAUUUUAAAAAUAUUAGUCAAAUUUUUAAGGCUUUAAUAAAUUAGUUAUUAAUUCUCAAAAUAUAUAUAUAGAAACAUGUUCUUAUAUUUUCAUGGGAAAUACAACAUGAUUUUAUUUGUCCUUUAAGAUAUUUGACCAUAUGUAAAUUAAAACAUUAAAUUCUUUUUAUCUUUUUUUUUUAUUUUAUAAUUCAAUAACAUACAUAAAAAAAAACAUACAAACACACACAUCCCUUUUUAUUAUAUUUUAAACAUACACCAUAAUUACAAAAUAACAAAAAAAAAAAAUCAAAUACAAUUGAAAAAUUAUAAAAUAAAUCUAGAAACUGUCGGAAAGCCUUCUAGGAUCUAAUAGAAUCUUGUCGGCCCGUCUUCUCCACGCGCGGACGUUAAUGGCAGUGCGUGGGUUCACAUGCCGCCGUAAAAAGACAGGUGACAGGGGAGAUCUGCAACGGCUUCCUCCCCUCUUCACCUUCCUCGCCGAAGGUGUGGACCACCGUCACCUGCAAAAGAAGAAAAAAUACACAAAACAGUCGGUUUUAAUUUUCUUUUUCUUUUUUUCAGAUCUGCUCUCGGUCUUCCUUUUUUUUAAAUCUGUUUAUUCUACAUAUCUGUUUUUUUUUUCAUUUUGUUUCACUUUCUUCUAUGUUUCAGGUGGCCAGCGAUAUGUCCAAGGGGCGGCCUACGACUGAGCUUCUGUCGUGUAUGGGCAGAUGCUGGUGGCCGGUUCGGGUCUUGGUGAGGUCAAAGGCCCGUAGGUUGCUAGGCGGCGUUGUUAGUGGCUGAGAGAGAGAUCAGUCAGAGAUGGGGAACAGUUGACCGAGGAAGAGAGCUUGUUUGUGAAGGCCGACAAUGGGGAUGUUGGGUCGACUGUGAGAGUAGAAGGAGACUGUGGAUAGGCUGGGCUAUGUAACAGAGGGGGGAAAUGGGGGAACAAUGGAGGUAGAUGUUCACGAUGUGUGUAGGGAAGAGCUAGGGAUGGCUGUUGGUUUGGAGAGAAACAAAGGAAGUGGGGGACCAUGGGUUUUUGAGAAGGCCGAAGCAGAUGGUGAGUGGCGUGGGACUUGAAGAUGAGAGGAAAUGGGAGCUACAGUGAUGAAGGGGCUGAAGGUUUAAGAAGGAGCCAAAGGGAACCAAAACUGAGGGAGCGGCAGCCGGCCAUUUUUGCAAAGGGAGGGGGGCAAUCGGCUGGCUUGGGAGAAAUAAUUUAGGUUUAGGGUUUUUUUUGUAGCCCCGCCGAAUGGCUCUUCCCUUUCUCUUUUUUUCCCCCCCAGGAAAUUUUCCUCCACCACCUCUCUUUAAACCAGUUUUUCUUCUCUAUUUGUAGAGAAAAUUAUUUGAAAAUUUAAAUUCUUUUGAACGAUGCUGAAAAUGCUAAAAAUGAUGCAAAUAUAUCAAAAAUAUUUUUUUUAGGGUUUUCAUUGUUUUUUUGCUAUUUUUGGUUUUUUCUAAAAAUUUAUCAAAAACAUAGGUAAAAAAUUGGGUAGCAACAGAUGUUAGUUGAAAAUAUAUAUAGAUGUUAAAUUUUUAUAGAUGCUAGGUUGUAUAUAAGAUUUUCCAAUGGAGUCAAUUGGUUCAUGGUUGUUGUAAAUAUAUGCAGGUUUGAAAACUGUGGGUAGUCUUCAGUAUAAAGGAGGUGUUGCCGAAUUUUUUUUAAAAUAAACAAAUUUAAUUAUGUAAUUAUUCAUAUAAAUUUAUGUAGAUGCGUAGAACGAAAUCAACAACACGUCGUCAGUAGACGGUUGCAGCUAGUGUUGACUUAUAAAUUUCUGUUUUUUUUUCGACAAACGUACCAACAUAAAUGGGAAUUACCGACGAUCAAUAUUCUGACAGACAUAUUCCAUCAAUGAUACCAUUGGCAAAAAUGUUGCUGAGGAAUUGUGUCUUAAACCGACGAAAUUAUUCCAUCAGUAUAACUGCUUAAUGGUGUAGUGACCGUUAUUGUUGAAAACCCCCCAGCAUAUUAUUCUACCCAAACUCCUCUAUAUAGUACAAUUGUCUGUGAACACUGGGUGCAACUUGUUGAUGUGGAGCUGUAAAGGAGGGUAUUGUUGUAGGUACUAAGACUUAUUGAGAUGACAAAGUCGAAUUUGAAUCUCGAGCUACCAACACAGCUUGGGUGAAGAGUUGCACUUAGUUGAUAAGUUGUUUGAAGUUUGGUUGGAUAAAAGUAUCUAUUGUGACAAGGAGAUAUGUUACACGUUCUAUUCCAAGAGUGUCUUGAUUAUCUAUCAUUGAUGAUGAUUAGGGAUGUCAAUAAAGCAAUUAUAUAAGAGCAAUUAAUGGCUCUUAUCAAAUUUCUCAUAGACGACACUAAAUGAUAAUGUUCUAAAAUUAUAUGUGCUCUAGAUUGAGGUUAUUUGGUGUUUGAAUAGUAGUUGAUCACAAGUUCAAGUCAAUAUUAUCUUCUUCAAAGCUCACGAAGUAGAUGAUUGGUGGUUGAAAGCUUAACACCUGUAAAAUAGUCUUUUAUGAGGUUUAGGUACCCCUCGAAAAUAAAAUCAGUAACUUUUAAUAAAUGAUUAUAAUAAAUGCUAAAAUGAGCUUUAAGUUCUAAGAACAAACAUGUUUAUUCUUGUUUUGGUAUGGUAAAUGCUCUAAGAAUAAGAGUACAAAUAUUUAAAUAAUAGAAAUUAUGAACCCUUUAUUUGGAUGAUUCAUGAGGUAUUUAUAAUCCCUGAACCUUAUUAUUUUAAUGGAGUGAAGAAGUUGGAGAAUCAUUUUUUUCUAAUGGUAUUAAUAGAAAAUAAAUAUCUCUUACAUUUAUUAAUAAAAUUAAAAUUUGAUGCUUAGGAGAGUUUAUCAAACUCCCAUCCACCUGAACUCAUGACUAACCUAAAAAUAUUAGAUUUAGACACAAGACUCAUCCACCUAUCAGUGAAUUACAACACAUUCCUAUACUUGAGGCCAGGUUAUUCACACACGCAAGCAAUGGUGCAGGUGGAAAUAUGAUCAAAAAGGAAGAUAAGUAUCUAGGCCAGCAAAAUUGCCAAGCCUAUGGUACUGCCCCACAUCAGCAUGCUUUAUAAGCAUUAAGACACUAGCGUGUCCCACAUCAGGAUGUGCCAUGUCUAUGCUACAGCAAGCCACGUCAGGAUGUUAGAAGUGGAGAGUAAAUACCGAACAAUUUGUUCUCUCUCUUUUUGAACUGAAUAUUGAAUAAAUUUAGGAUUGGCUUGAGAGGAAUAACUCUUAAACAGAUUUAGGGUUUAUAAAGUAGUGUACAAAAUCCUUGUUUAUAUGGAAAUCUUGUUGUUCACUAGUAAAAGCAUUCGAAGCAGAUAAAUGCAGGAAGCAAGGGUGUACAUGAGUUCGGGGGCCCUUUUAAAUACAUCAUCAAUCGAGAUUAGGCAUAGUUUGCCACCAAUAAUUGAUGUUUAGGCAUAAAGAAAAGUUUGUAAUUCACAUUAGAAUUCUUUUCUGUUCAGAUUUUUCCUCAAAACAUUCAAAUUGAGAAGUUCAUAAAGCAAAUGGAAAUAUAGGAUUUCUCACAUGUCGUAAAGGACAGAAGGAUGACGUCUCUUUCUUUAUUGAACAAGCCACACCAUAGAAAAAACAUGGGAAUUAUUACAAGAAAACAUACAAGAGACGAGGGACAGACAUCGUUCUCAUAUUGUAAGGAAGAUUCUCCUUGUCUAAACUUCUCCAAUCACUCAUAAAGCAACAAAUUAAGAUGACCAAGGUAGGGCUAACCAACUCAACCUCAACAACUUAGUGUAGGAGGAACAUCUUGAACCAAUACGCCGAGUAUUUCAUGUAUCUCUUUAAAUUGUUCUUGAAAUCAAUAUAAAUCAUGCCAAAACGGACGGUAUAUCCAGCAUCCCAUUCAAAAUCGUCCCAAAAUGCCCAUUGAUAGUAUCCCUUCACAUUAGCUCCCUCACUGCACCAAGAAGAAAACCAUGACUACUCUUCUUCAACAUCAAUGCUAGUGCCUAAGGGUUAUUUUGGUGUAAAUUAUGACUUCUCUUUCCAGAAUUUUUCAAUUAAUCAUCUAUUUUAAUGUUUUUGAAAACAGAAAGCAAUAACAUAUAUCAGAGAAUGAGGGCUCACUUGAUGGCUUUUGAAAGAUAUUGCAGAUGGCUAGCUAAGUAUCUUAUUCUUAGCCCAUCUUUCAGAGCUUCUUUAACAGGCAAUGAUGCAUUAUUUGCAUCAGCAAGACCUGUAAAUAAGGAAGAUUCAACAAAAUACCAGCUCUGGAUAUUAUUAAGAAAAAAAUCCAUACGAAUAGACACUUGUCAUAAAGUAUUAAAGAUGCACAACUGCUCUUAAUUAUUACCAUUCUCAGUAAUGUAAAUCGGAGGGUUCUUGUACUUGUCCCUUACAUACAGCAUAAGGUCAUAAAUUCCCUUCGGAUAGAUGAAUAGCCAAUUCAAAGCUGUCUGUGAAACAAUAACAUAGAAUUUCCUUAGCAAAUAAUCACGCCCUGUUCUAUUUGGACAAACUAAUUGAUGUGUAAAAAUAGGAACAUUUAUAGAAGAAAAUCCUUCCCAUUUUUCUUUCAUUUGGCUCAGUGGAAGGGAUAGAUAAUUAUGAAUGAAGCAUAGAAUUGGGAAAGAAAGUACCGGUGUACCGAUAGGAUGUCCACCCUUGGAAGCUGGGGUAAAAAAUUAAAAUGACCCUUUAGAGUGUAUUUAUAUAUAUUAAGGCUAAAAGGAAGAAAAAUAAUUAAAUGAGAAUAAAUUUUAUUUUCUUAGCUUACUUGAGAGAAUGGUUUGGAAUCUCCAGAGUAACUAAAGUUGAUUUUAUUAGGAGCUGGAUUGUUUGCUGCAUAAUUUGUAGUGUAGUAAUUCACACCAAGAAAAUCUAUUGACCCUUUUACCAAAGCAGAUUCCUCUUUAGUAAAUUUGGGUAGUCGAUGUCCCACUAUAGCUUUCAUGGUCUCAGGAUAAUCUCCGUAAGUAAGUGGAUUCACAAACCUGCACAGUUUUGUGACAAUUAAGGUGUAAGUGUUGCUAUCAUGAUAGAUUUUUAAGGGCAGAUUUUAAGAAAAAUCACCGGAGAAAGCGAGAUGAAAAUUAAUGUCAAGAACUUACCAACCAAACAGAAAAUCAAGUUCUCUAUAGGCUGCUUUGAUAUCUUCCUCUGAUUUUGGAGAUUUUGGUAUAAACCAGUUUGUCACUAUAGUGAUCCCGAUUUUUCCCUUUUGAGAAGCCUGCAAUUAAAAAUGAAAUAUCCCCUUAAGUUCACAGCUUUUUUGUCAAGAAGUCUCACUUUUGCUUUGUUUAAUUUAUUUACAGUGCAUCAUGAUUUAUUAUGGAUUUCAUUGCACACAAACCUGAUAUUUCUCCCUGUACAAUUUCACAGCAGCUGCGUGUCCAAGAAUCAAGUUAUGGGCUACCAUGUAGGGUUCGGUACCGGAGUUACCGAGCGUGCACUUUCCGACAUAGUUAGAGCAACGGCCUGGAGCGAAAGUACCGCCAUUGUAGCCAUUGCUGCUAACGAGUAUGGCUCAUUAAAUGUGCACCAGUGCUUCACUCGAUCGCCAAAUGUUUUGAAGCAAAAGUCCACAUAGGCAAGGUAAUCAUCCCUAAU